UACGGAGGGGGCUAGCGUUGUUCGGAAUUACUGGGCGUAAAGCGCACGUAGGCGGCUUUGUAAGUUAGAGGUGAAAGCCCGGGGCUCAACCCCGGAACUGCCUUUAAGACUGCAUCGCUUGAAUCCGGGAGAGGUGAGUGGAACUGCGAGUGUAGAGGUGAAAUUCGUAGAUAUUCGCAAGAACACCAGUGGCGAAGGCGGCUCACUGGCCCGGUACUGACGCUGAGGUGCGAAAGCGUGGGGAGCAAACAGG
rnacentral:rRNA from 1 species